UACGGAGGGUGCAAGCGUUAAUCGGAAUUACUGGGCGUAAAGCGCACGCAGGCGGUCUGUCAAGUCGGAUGUGAAAUCCCCGGGCUUAACCUGGGAACUGCAUUCGAAACUGGCAGGCUGGAGUCUUGUAGAGGGGGGUAGAAUUCCAGGUGUAGCGGUGAAAUGCGUAGAGAUCUGGAGGAAUACCGGUGGCGAAGGCGGCCCCCUGGACAAAGACUGACGCUCAGGUGCGAAAGCGUGGGGAGCAAACA
rnacentral:rRNA from 1 species